rnacentral:rRNA from 1 species
AACCCUUCGUGUUUAGUUGCCGACAGAUAAUGCUGUGCAACUCUAAACAGACUGCCGUGGAUAACACGGAGGAAGGUGGGGAUGACGUCAAAUCAUCAUGCCCCUUAUGAUCUGGGCUACACACGUGCUACAAUGGUCGGUACAACGGGCAGCGAAAGAGUAAUCUGGAGCGAAUCCUAAAAAGCCGAUCCCAGUUCGGAUUGUGGGCUGAAACUCGCCUGCAUGAAGCCGGAAUCGCUAGUAAUCGCGGAUCAGCAUGCCGCGGUGAAUACGUUCCCGGGCCUU